rnacentral:rRNA from 1 species
CAGUAGCCGCGGUAAUACGAAGGGGGCUAGCGUUGUUCGGAAUUACUGGGCGUAAAGGGCGCGUAGGCGGUGCUCUAAGUCUGUCGUGAAAUCUCUCGGCUUAACUGGGAGGGUGCGGCGGAAACUGGAAUGCUCGAGUAUGGGAGAGGUAAGCGGAAUUCCUGGUGUAGCGGUGAAAUGCGUAGAUAUCAGGAGGAACACCUGUGGUGUAGACAGCUUACUGGACCAUGACUGACGCUGAGGCACGAAAGCGUGGGUAGCAAACAGGAUUAGAUACCCCAGUAGUCCCUGUCUCUUAUAC